UGAGAGAAAAAGGGAGAGGAGAGCACGAAAACAAGAAAGAAAAAGAGAGAAAGAAAGAGAGAAAGAAGGAGAAGAGGAAAGGGGUUUCAAGAAUAUCUAGGUGCCUAAGGAUUGAUUUGCUUUGUGUUAUUGAACACUACUAAGGAGUUGAAGCUUUGGUCGAAGAGGACAGGAGAUUGAUUGAGGAGAGUAUGAAGAUGUCCAAGGAGAAGGAGAAACUGGCCGCUGAGAAAAAGUUGUUCGAUGAACUUGAAACAACAAAACGAUCAUUGGAAAAGUAUCGAGGCAUCAGCAAAGCGAACAAUGAUGAAGCCUUGAAGCUGGAGAAGGAUCUUACGAAGAGCCAUGAGAAGUCAAACAAUCUGGAGAAAAAGGUCUCCAAACUGGAACAAAAGUUGUUGACCCUCGAGCAAGAUAGUGAAAGCAACCUGGAGCGAUUCAAAUGAGAUUUAUUGUAAAGAACGCCCUAAACUAGUACUUAAUAAAACAUUCACAUAUCAUUGGUCCAUAAAGAAAACCACUUUUUAUAAAGGUCUCAGUGAGGACUUGCUUAAAACAAUGCAA